ACUGCGGCCAGUCCUUAUGUUUCGUCGGCGUCGACACCCAUGCCGAUAAGUUCAUCAACGAUCCUUCUGCUCGAUCCGGGAUGCAGGGGUCUGGAGCUCAUGGGGCCAGUAGCAUGUUAGCUUCCACACGCAUGGAUAAUUCCUUUGUGGUGUUGCCAAAGCAACGGCCACAAUCACAUGGAGUUCCUCGUCCUCGUGAGGGGGCUGGUCAGGCUGAUACAGGACAAACUGGAAAGGCAAUGG
rnacentral:misc_RNA from 1 species